UAUUCCGUUGAGCGAGCAAUGGCCAAAGCCGCCGCCUCCCUUCUCCCGGGUCUCCUCCCGACCCCGCCGACGAGGCCGUGCCUCAUCAUCCUGCCGUCUUCCUUCGCCUCCAAGCCCAAGCCCAAGCCCGGCCGCGCCGACUCCGUCGAGAGGUGGGACGCGCACAAGAAGGACAAGAAGCCCACGAGCCCAGCCUCGUCGUGCUCCAGCAGCUCAGGUCCCGGCCGAGCCUCCUCCUGCCAGCGUUGGGGCAUAAACAAGCACAUCUCCGGCAGCAGCUGCACGUCAUCGUCGUCAAGCCGGCGAAGCAGCACGAGCUCCGGCGGGGCGUCACCGUGCGGGAGGUGGGAUAGCAACAAGCAGCUGCCGCCCAGCCGCACGACCUCCGCUGGUCGCUGGGACACGCACAAGAAGCCUCGACCGGCACAAGCUAGCGCAGAGAGCUGGACGAGCGACGAGGACCAAGGGGGCGACACAACGGCGAUGGUUCUGAAACCGACAGCUCCGCGCAUAGGCCCCAUGUUCUCCGGCCCGAGCUUCGUCGCCUCGCCUGACCCAAGCAUGCUUCCAAUGCCGCCG
rnacentral:rRNA from 1 species